rnacentral:lncRNA from 1 species
CCAACCUCCAUGUUGAGUCUCCAAAGUCAAAUGCAUGUGAUGCAAACAAAUGUUCCUACUAGGGAUCCGACAUGAGGUUUUGUUAUACUAGGUUUAAAUCUUAGGUUUAUUGUUCUAGACCUGGCUUACCCGAGCGGACAGCUCGAGCUGAGGGGGCAGCAUACCGGGAAUACAGAAGCUUCACCGACUUUGCAACUUGUCCGAACCUUAUUCUAAAAUUUGGGAUAAGACUCUAACAGAAAAUAAGUUACACGAAGUGCACAAUU